rnacentral:tRNA from 1 species
CCGACUAGUUCCGGGUUCGAAUCCCGGGCAACC